GUUCUGUGUAUCAUAUCGUGUGGGCUUUGUAUUUCUGUAAGUCUGAUAACACUGUACACACAACUAACAUAUUAUUUCUCGUCUUACACUUUCAGGAACUUGACUGACAUCUGUGCUUUGCCUGGUAGGUGUGCACAUACUUGUGCAGAAGAAGAACAAGGACCAGAUCUCCAGUCUUCUCUCUCACAUCCCAACCCCCCAUCCCCUCUAUCCUCUGUACUGCUCCACCUGUUGUCUCUGCCUUCCUUCCAUCUGUAUUUCACCCUGUGGUUUGUGAGAAAUUUUGCCAAACCAAGAAUCUUAUUGCGGUUUGAUUUCAAAGCCGCGUCUCUAAUUUUAGAGUUCGAAGGAACUCUAAUUCACGGUUUAAUUGGGAUUUCCCAGCCGUGUCUUUCCUGCUCUGUCUGUUCUCUCUGCUAAAUUUUCUCUCUACCUGUUUUUCACUCCUGGCUUGCUGCUGAAUAAUGGCAAGCCAAUAAAGCAAUAAAGAGUGCAUAUUUUGCCUCAACCUAUGAACAAACUGAACAAACAAAGAAAACUCUGCGGUUUGAUUUCAAAGCCGCGCCUCUAAUUUUAGAGUUCGAAGGAACUCUAAUUCACGGUUUAAUUGGGAUUUCCCAGCCGUGUCUUUCCUGCUCUGUCUGUUCUCUCUGCUAAAUUUUCUCUCUACCUGUUUUUCACUCUUGGCUUGCUGCUGAAAAAGGCCAAGCCAUUAAAGCAAUAAAGAGUGCAUAUUGCCUCUACCUGAGAACAAACUGAACAAAUAAAGAAAACUCUAAUUCACGGUUUGAUUGUGAUUUCCCAGCCGUGUCUCUCCUGCUCUGUCUAUUCUCUCUUCUAAAUUUUCUCUCUACCUGUUUUUCAUUCUGGGCUUGCUGCUAAGUUGUGCCAAGCCCAUAAAGAGAGUGCAUAUUAUUCUCUCGACUGACAAAAAAACUGUCAAACAAACAAAGACAUCUGUUUCUGAGAAAUAAAAACUGAAAUAUAAAGACAAAGACAACAUCUCCUGGUGUGUGCCACUCUUAU
rnacentral:lncRNA from 1 species